GAGUCCUCCAUAGCUCAGUGGUUAGAGCGUCCAACCGGAACCUGGAAGGUCAUGGGUUCGAUUCCUGUUGGGUUGCUCA
rnacentral:tRNA from 1 species